GAUGCUCAUAAGUAAGGCAUAAAAAAAUGUUUUUGUUUGGUUCCGGUUGGUUGUCAGUUGAGGUCAUGGGUCGGUGGGGAAUUUGUUUUAUUUUUUAUUUUUAUUUUCCUUUACAGUAGCGAUGGAACUUUUUCAUAACAUAGCCUACCUGUACUACAUGUACUCUACCACCUUGUGUGUCCCAGCAUGUUACACACACACACACACACACACACACACACACACACACACAA